rnacentral:rRNA from 1 species
GGGGAAUUUUGGACAAUGGGCGCAAGCCUGAUCCAGCAAUGCCGCGUGCAGGAAGAAGGCCUUCGGGUUGUAAACUGCUUUUGUCAGGGAAGAAAUCUUCUGGGUUAAUACCUCGGGAGGAUGACGGUACCUGAAGAAUAAGCACCGGCUAACUACGUGCCAGCAGCCGCGGUAAUACGUAGGGUGCGAGCGUUAAUCGGAAUUACUGGGCGUAAAGCGUGCGCAAGCGGCUUUGCAAGACAGAGGUGAAAUCCCCGGGCUCAACCUGGGAACUGCCUUUGUGACUGCAAGGCUAGAGUACGGCAGAGGGGGAUGGAAUUCCGCGUGUAGCAGUGAAAUGCGUAGAUAUGCGGAGGAACACCAAUGGCGAAGGCAAUCCCCUGGGCCUGUACUGACGCUCAUGCACGAAAGCGUGGGGAGCAAACAGGAUUAGAUACCCUGGUAGUCCACGCCCUAAACGAUGUCAACUGGUUGUUGGACGGCUUGCUGUUCAGUAACGAAGCUAACGCGUGAAGUUGACCGCCUGGGGAGUACGGCCGCAAGGUUG